GACGAACGCUGGCGGCGUGCCUAAUACAUGCAAGUCGAACGCAGUGGGGACGGGUGAGUAACACGUGGGUAACCUCCCAUCAGAGGGGAUAACACUUGGAAACAGGUGCUAAACCGAUAUUGAUGGAUGGACCCGCGGUGCAUUAGCUAGUUGGUGAGGUAACGGCUCACCAAGGCCAUGAUGCAUAGCCGACCUGAUAGAAGGAUCAGCUACACUGGGACUGAGAGACGGCCCGGAGUCCUACGUGAGGCAGCAGUAGGGAAUAUUGCACAAUGGGCGCAAGCCUGAUGCAGCCAGGCCGCGUGUAUGAAGAAGGCCUUAGGGUUGUAAGACUUUAAGCGAGGAGGAGCGUUACCCGCAGAAGAAGCACCGGCUAACUCCGUGCCAGCAGCCGCGGUGAUUC
rnacentral:rRNA from 1 species